CACCGGCAUAAUUAAUUCCCUCCACCUUCUCUCUAGCACCUCCCACGUCUUCUCUUUUUAUAGCAGUUCUUUCUCUCGGAAAAUCUCAGGUUACUUGACUGGGAGUUCUCAGACCUCCAGUUUCAGCCCUGCCCUCAGCCUCCAGUCAGUGAGAGACACCCAGCCCCAGCAAAUGGAUUGGGCAGCCCGUCUUGACACACCACUGUGCUGAGUGCUUGAGGACGUGUUUCACCAGAUGGUUGGGGUUAGCGUGUGUCAUCACAUUUGAGUGGGGAUUAGGAGCAGGAAGGCUGCCUCGCCGGAGCUGUGUGGUCUUCUCCAAGCGAGAGUUGCAGGCAAGAGAACUACUUGCUUGGGGAAGAAGAGGAGGAAUUCGUUGUCUGCAGCCACAAGAAAAGCAGUUUUUUCAGGUGCUGACAGCCAACCCCCAUCAUCUGAGGAAGGUGAAUUUGGCAAAUGACAUGCAGAUUCUCCAAGACAGAAUAAUUGCAGAAAAUCUUCAAAGGACCCCAUCUGCAGAUGUCCUGAAUACCUCUGAGUAUAGCAAUUGAUUAUUCAACCAGGAUACCUAAUUCAAGAGCUGCAGGAACCAGGAGACAGACAUUUUGUCCGUUUU
rnacentral:lncRNA from 1 species